GCUUCACUAAGGGGUGGGCUUGGAGGCCUCAGAAGCUGAAGUCAGACCUAGUGGCUCACUGCCUCUUCCUGUCUCUCAGCCCCUCUCUAGCACCAUGUCUACCUGCAGGCUGCCAUGCUUCCUGACAUGAUGACAAUGGACUGAACCUCUGAAACUCAUUGCACCCUGCUCCUUUGUGUGUGUGUAGAUCAUGAGGACAAAGAAUGAAGAAAUAAGAAAUCAAAGCCAAAAAUGCCUAAAGAUAGGAAAAGAAGAAAUGAACAUUUGGGGCAGCAAGGAUAAAAAAGUGGAGAGAAACUGGAAGAGUGGCAGGAGUCAGGGCAGAGAGAAACUGAACAACUUCAAGGCCAGUGAGUGAGUAAAGAAAAGAAGCAGAGUCAAGAAGAGACAAGGCAGGUCUGCAGGUAGAUUGUGUGAGACACUUUCAGUUUUAAAACAGCAACACAAUCAAGAGAUCACCUCUUUUUCUGCCUCUGGAAUUUGGUGAGAACACAAUGGACUGGUGCUUGGAGCUGCUGCAGCCAUCUUGUGGACAUGAAGGGAGCCCCAAUCUACCUAGAAAAAAUGGAAGAACAGAAAUACAGGUACAGCUGGGACCAAGAUGAUCUUGCCACUUCAGUACAUUACAAAACCCGAGACCCCAUCUUAAAACAUCUGAUGAAAUAGAAGAGUCUUCUAUUGUUGAAGAUUUGUUAGAUUUUUCUGUUUCUUUCAUUAAAAAUCAUCAUAAC